rnacentral:rRNA from 1 species
CCUACGGGUGGCAGCAGUGAGGAAUAUUGGUCAAUGGGCGCGAGCCUGAACCAGCCAAGUAGCGUGAAGGAUGACUGCCCUACGGGUUGUAAACUUCUUUUAUAAAGGAAUAAAGUGAGGCACGUGUGCCUUUCUGUAUGUACUUUAUGAAUAAGGAUCGGCUACCUCCGUGCCAGCAGCCGCGGUAUUCCGGAGGAUCCGAGCGUUAUCCGGAUUUAUUGGGUUUAAAGGGAGCGUAGAUGGGUUGUUAAGUCAGUUGUGAAAGUUUGCGGCUCAACCGUAAAAGUGCAAUUGAUACUGGCAGGCUGGAGUGCAGAUGAGGUAGGCGGAAUUCGUGGUGUAGCGGUGAAAUGCAUAGAUAUCACGAAGAACUCCGAUUGCGAAGGCAGCUUACUAAACUGCGACUGACAUUGAUGCUCGAAAGUGUGGGUAUCAAACAGGAUUAGAUACCCGAGUAGUC